rnacentral:rRNA from 1 species
CACAAGCGGUGGAGCAUGUGGUUUAAUUUCGACGCAACGCGCAGAACCUUACCUGGGCUUGACAUCCCGAUCGCACCUUUUGGAAACUUAAGGGUCAGUUCGGCUGGAUCGGUGACAGGUGCUGCAUGGCUGUCGUCAGCUCGUGUCGUGAGAUGUUGGGUUAAGUCCCGCAACGAGCGCAACCCUCGUCCUUAGUUGCCAGCAUUAAGUUGGGCACUCUAAGGAGACUGCCGGUGUUAAACCGGAGGAAGGCGGGGAUGACGUCAAGUCCUCAUGGCCCUUAUGUCCAGGGCUACACACGUGCUACAAUGGCCGGUACAAAGGGUAGCAAGACCGCGAGGUGGAGCCAACCCCAAAAAGCCGGUCUCAGUUCGGAUUGGAGUCUGCAACUCGACUCCAUGAAGUUGGAAUCGCUAGUAAUCGUGGAUCAGCAUGCCACGGUGAAUACGUUCCCGGGCCUU